rnacentral:rRNA from 1 species
UGAAUACGAGAUGCUACGGCGUCGAAGCAGUCUAUGUCAUACUUCCAAGAAAAGCUUGCACUGUCAUAAACAAAUAAUGCCUGUACCAUAACCGACACAGGUGGGUAGGUAGAGUAUACUAAGGGGCGCGAGAUAACUCUCUCUAAGGAACUCGGCAAAAUGACUCCGUAACUUCGGGAGAAGGAGUGCCUUAUUUAUAAGGUUGCAAUAACAAGAUCCAAGCAACUGUUUGCCAAAAACACAGGUCUCCGCUAAGUCGUAAGACGAUGUAUGGGGGCUGACGCCUGCCCAGUGCCAGAAGGUUAAAGAAGUUGGUUAGCAUCCGCGAAGCUGAUAACUGAAGCCCUGGUGAACGGCGGCCGUAACGAUAACGGUCCUAAGGUAGCGAAAUUCCUUGUCGGGUAAGUUCCGACCCGCACGAAAGGCGUAAUGAUUUGGAUACUGUCUCGGAGAGGGGCUCGGUGAAAUAGACUUGUCUGUGAAGAUGCGGACUACCUGCACCAGGACAGAAAGACCCUAUGAAGCUUUACUGUAACCUGAAAUUGAAAUUGGACUUUACUUGCGCAGUAUAGGUGGGAGGCGUUGAGAAUAUUCUUGCGGGAUUAUUGGAGCCAUCAGUGAGAUACCACUCUUGUAAUGUUAGAUUUCUAACUUUGUAUCAUUAUCUGGUCAAAGAACAGUUUCAGGCGGGCAGUUUGACUGGGGCGGUCGCCUCCUAAACGGUAACGGAGGCGCACAAAGGUUUCCUCUGAACGGGUAGAAAUCGUAUCUAGAGUGUAAAGGCAUAAGGAAGCUUGACUGUGAGACCUACAAGUCGAGCAGGGACGAAAGUCGGUCUUAGUGAUCUGACGGUGCUGAGUGGAAAGGCCGUCACUCAACGGAUAAAAGUUACUCUAGGAUAACAGGCUGAUCUCCCCCAAGAGUUCACAUCGACGGGGAGGUUUGGCACCUCGAUGUCGGCUCAUCGCAUCCUGGGGCGGUAGUACGUCCCAAGGGUUGGGCUGUUCGCCCAUGAAAGCGGUACGCGAGCUGGGUUCAGAACGUCGUGAGACAGUUCGGUCCAUAUCCGGUGUAGGCGUUAGAAUAUUGAGAGGAGCCUUCUUUAGUACGAGAGGACCGAGAAGGACAUACCUCUGGUGUACCAGUUAUCGUGCCAACGGUAAACGCUGGGUAGCUAUGUGUGGAGUGGAUAACCGCUGAAAGCAUCUAAGUGGGAAGCCCACCUCAAGAUAAGUAUUCUCA